UAUAACUCAGAUUUGCAAUCUGGCGUCUUCGGCGUCCGAGUUGUAAUUUGAAGAAGGUAUCUUUGGUUUUGGCUCUUGUCUAUGUUCCUUGGAACAGGACGUCACAGAGGGUGAGAAUCCCGUGCGAUGAGAUGCCCAAUUCCAUGUAAAGUUCCUUCGACGAGUCGAGUUGUUUGGGAAUGCAGCUCUAAGUGGGUGGUAAAUUCCAUCUAAAGCUAAAUAUUGGCGAGAGACCGAUAGCGAACAAGUACUGUGAAGGAAAGAUGAAAAGAACUUUGAAAAGAGAGUGAAAAAGUACGUGAAAUUGUUGAAAGGGAAGGGCUUGAGAUCAGACUUGGAAUUUUCCAGCAAUGGAGCUUUCCGGGCCAGCAUCAGUUUGGAUGGCAGGAUAAUUGCGUAGGAAAGUGGCACCACCUCGGUGGUGUGUUAUAGCCUGCGUCGAUACUGCCUAUCUAGACUGAGGACUGCGUCUUUGACUAGGAUGCUGGCAUAAUGAUCUUAAGCC
rnacentral:rRNA from 1 species